rnacentral:lncRNA from 1 species
UCCUUCCCAGCUGCAUUUUCCAGUGCGUGUGAUAAACCUCUCGGCUCUCUCCCCCCAUCUCAUCCUGCUCCAUCUCCGAAAUUCCAACCCUAGGGGAAAAAGGAUGGGAUAGAAUUCAAGGGGCAGCAAAGGCAACGGCAGCAGCGACGAUGACCUGUUUCAAGAAGAACCGAAGUUACCUCGGAGGCAGCGAUGGCACCGG